rnacentral:lncRNA from 1 species
GAGGAGAGAGAAAGUCCACAUCUGGCUUGGUAGUCUGCUGAGGUGGAGAGAAGGGGCGUCGGCCAGUCCCCUCCCCAACUUGGGGAGGAUGGCGACCUGAGGUAGGGGAGAGGAAGGGCGAUUUGACCAGAUAUGCUUCCUGUCCAUCGGCUGCUCAGUGAGAAAUGCCUUGGCUGCCUGCCUGUCAUCUCUCUCGAAGGACAUCAGGACAAUCAACCAAACAACAAAUGAAGCCCUGAUUGAGAGGGAUUACUGAUUUCCAAGGUGUGAAUGCUCGCACUGCAAAUUUAACAAUCCGCUCUGGAGAGUCCACCUGUGCUCGUAUGCGGCUAAUGCUUGUAAGACACAUACAACAUACUGUAGAGGCAGAAGGUAAUGGGGCAAGACAUGAGCAGCUGAGGAGAUCGAGAAAAGAAAGCUGCAGAAGGAGGUUCUGA